rnacentral:rRNA from 1 species
UCAGGAUGAACGCUGGCGGCGUGCUUAACACAUGCAAGUCGAACGGUGAAGCCAAGCUUGCUUGGUGGAUCAGUGGCGAACGGGUGAGUAACACGUGAGCAACCUGCCCUGGACUCUGGGAUAAGCGCUGGAAACGGCGUCUAAUACUGGAUAUGAGCCUUUUCCGCAUGGUGGGGGUUGGAAAGAUUUUUCGGUCUGGGAUGGGCUCGCGGCCUAUCAGCUUGUUGGUGAGGUAAUGGCUCACCAAGGCGUCGACGGGUAGCCGGCCUGAGAGGGUGACCGGCCACACUGGGACUGAGACACGGCCCAGACUCCUACGGGAGGCAGCAGUGGGGAAUAUUGCACAAUGGGCGGAAGCCUGAUGCAGCAACGCCGCGUGAGGGAUGACGGCCUUCGGGUUGUAAACCUCUUUUAGCAAGGAAGAAGCGAAAGUGACGGUACUUGCAGAAAAAGCGCCGGCUAACUACGUGCCAGCAGCCGCGGUAAUACGUAGGGCGCAAGCGUUAUCCGGAAUUAUUGGGCGUAAAGAGCUCGUAGGCGGUUUGUCGCGUCUGCUGUGAAAUCCCGAGGCUCAACCUCGGGCCUGCAGUGGGUACGGGCAGACUAGAGUGCGGUAGGGGAGAUUGGAAUUCCUGGUGUAGCGGUGGAAUGCGCAGAUAUCAGGAGGAACACCGAUGGCGAAGGCAGAUCUCUGGGCCGUAACUGACGCUGAGGAGCGAAAGGGUGGGGAGCAAACAGGCUUAGAUACCCUGGUAGUCCACCCCGUAAACG